UUUUUAUAAUUGAUUAUUUCUUUUAAUAUGAUUUAACUUUUUGUUUAUCUAUAUUUAAUAAUUUUUAUUUAUAUUGUGUUUAUUAUUUUAUUUUCAGAAGAAUCAUUGGCUUCAAAUAUCUCAGUUGAAAAGAAUUUGAAGUGAUCGAGAAUAUGGGAAGAAUUCAAGUGCCGUUCAAAUGGAAGUAGUAUGAGAUUGGGUUAGAUGGAACCUUAAGAAGGAUAUUGGGUGUGGUGGAAUUACAAAUUGGCCUUAGAAGAGAGUUUUUAGCUUUGUAUGCCAGAUCCUCUGAAAGAACAUAUGCAAAGGAGUAUUUGAGCAAUGAAGACUCUCUGCUCAACAAUUGCACCAUUUGCAACUUCACCAACUAAUGGAGAAGAGUGCUUUGAAGGCAUCAAGGAGAAUUUUAUUAAACAAAAGAUGCUAUGAGGACACGCACUAGAUACCACCACCAAAAGGCGAAUUGUGGUUUGAUGUUGAUGGGUUUAUAACUACAGAAAGACAUGCAACUUAUGAGGGAGUAUUAAGGGACUAGCGAGGUAAUUGGAUAUUGGGUUUUAAACAAAACUUGGGUAUCCUAAAUCCUUUAGCUACAGAGUUAAUGGCAAUUUAUAAUGCUUUUCUCAUCAUCAGAGAAUGUAAUAUGCAAGAUGUCACUGUGUUCACUGAUUCUUUAAGUGUGAUAAAUUUGCUAAUUAGAGAUGAUAGACUUCAUCAUCCACUUGAUGACACUAUGAGAGAACUCAAACAAAUUUGGUUAGAGAUGCCUCGUGUCAUGAUCACUCACAUUUAUUAUGAAUGAGUUAGAUGUGCAAACCAACCUAUAAAGAAUGCUCAUGAAGGAGGGUUUGAAGUGACUAUUAUUCCCUCAAUGCCAUUAGAAUGUCUGAAUCUUUUUAUUUUUGAA